ensembl:rRNA 5S_rRNA 5S ribosomal RNA
GCUUACGACCACACCGGCCUGAGUACGCCUGAUCUCGGAAGCUAAGCAGGGUCGGGCCUGGUUAGUACUUGGAUGGGAGACUUCCUGGGAAUACCAGGUGAUGUAAGCU